rnacentral:rRNA from 1 species
GAUGAACGCUGGCGGCGUGCCUAAUACAUGCAAGUCGAGCGAACGGACGAGAAGCUUGCUUCUCUGAUGUUAGCGGCGGACGGGUGAGUAACACGUGGAUAACCUACCUAUAAGACUGGGAUAACUUCGGGAAACCGGAGCUAAUACCGGAUAAUAUUUUGAACCGCAUGGUUCAAAAGUGAAAGACGGUCUUGCUGUCACUUAUAGAUGGAUCCGCGCUGCAUUAGCUAGUUGGUAAGGUAACGGCUUACCAAGGCAACGAUGCAUAGCCGACCUGAGAGGGUGGUCGGCCACACUGGAAUUGGGACACGGCCCAGAGUCCUAGGGAAGGCAGCAGGAGGGAUGCUGCCGCAGGGGGCGAAAGCCGAUCGGAGCAACUCGGCGUGUGUGAUGAAGGGCUUCGGAUCGGAAGACUCUGUUAUUGGGUAAGAACAUAUGUGUAAUUAACGGUGCUCAUCUUGACGGUACCUAAGCAUAAAGCCGCGGCUAACUGCGG